CAGCCGCCACGGUAAAACGUAGGGUGCAAGCGUUAAUCGGAAUUACUGGGCGUAAAGCGUGCGCAGGCGGUUAUAUAAGACAGAUGUGAAAUCCCCGGGCUCAACCUGGGAACUGCAUUUGUGACUGUAUAGCUAGAGUACGGCAGAGGGGGAUGGAAUUCCGCGUGUAGCAGUGAAAUGCGUAGAUAUGCGGAGGAACACCGAUGGCGAAGGCAAUCCCCUGGGCCUGUACUGACGCUCAUGCACGAAAGCGUGGGGAGCAAACAGGAUUAGAUACCCGCGUAGUCCCUGUCUCUUAUAC
rnacentral:rRNA from 1 species